CUCACUUUCUUGCCGGCCACGAAGUGAAAGGGUCACGGCUCUCUGAGCUGCAGCUCUGCUCCCAGAUGGCGGCGAUGACGUAAUUUCCGGCUAUCGGCAAGCCGACGGCGAUGACGUCGUUUCCGGCCUGUGGCAAGAUGACGACGGUGACGUCAUUUCCUGUCGGAGGCAAGAUGGCGGCGACGACGACAUUUCCGGUCGGAGGCAAGAUGGCGCUGAAGCGGAGUGCACGAAAUGUUGCAUAAUUCUACUGGAAAUAGUCAUCAAGAGGCAGUGAGCAGCAGAACACAACAAGACGCAACAAGACACAACAAGUAAAAACUUAAUAAAUCUCAUCUUUAAAAUUUAAAUUGUUCUUAUAUUUUUAAGAGUCAUUCACAUUUUAAACUUUAAUAAAACCUUUUUGCACUUUUAA